AAAGCCCUGUCCUCAUAGCCACGGGAAGAACAUGUGGGCAGAGGUGUCACUGUGACGCUUGCAUCAUCAAAGGAGCCUGGUGACGUCAGCACCAACAGAAGACUCCAGAGUUAGGAGAGCCGUAGAUGGCAGCUGGAUCGUGGCGUGACACAGACCCUAAGAUAUGAUGCUUGGAAGAAACUCAUCCUCAGCAGACGUCUUUGGCUGUCUCUUUACAUCACUCUAACCCAAGCCCUGCAGUGGAGAGAUUUAUUGCUUUUCUUUUAUGCAAUCAAGUCAGACUUCGAUCUGAACACGGGGAGAAACAGAGUGUGUGUGCAGCUGGCCCACAGGAGCAGUCAGCCCCAGGCACUCGAAGGAGGACAGAGGCUUCCCUGACUCAAGUUGCUGUCUCCUGACAGCUGAACAUUCUAGAAGCAACCUCUAAGGAGAGAAUGAAUUUGAAAAGAAUGCUGUUACU